UGGGGAAUUUUGGACAAUGGGCGAAAGCCUGAUCCAGCAAUGCCGCGUGUGUGAAGAAGGCCUUCGGGUUGUAAAGCACUUUUGUCCGGAAAGAAAUCCUUGGCUCUAAUACAGUCGGGGGAUGACGGUACCGGAAGAAUAAGCACCGGCUAACUACGUGCCAGCAGCCGCGGUAAUACGUAGGGUGCAAGCGUUAAUCGGAAUUACUGGGCGUAAAGCGUGCGCAGGCGGUUUGCUAAGACCGAUGUGAAAUCCCCGGGCUCAGCCUGGGAACUGCAUUGGUGACUGGCAGGCUAGAGUAUGGCAGAGGGGGGUAGAAUUCCACGUGUAGCAGUGAAAUGCGUAGAGAUGUGGAGGAAUACCGAUGGCGAAGGCAGCCCCCUGGGCCAAUACUGACGCUCAUGCACGAAAGCGUGGGGAGCAAACAGGAUUAGAUACCCUGGUAGUCCACGCCCUAAACGAUGUCAACUAGUUGUUGGGGACUUCAUUUCCUUAGUAACGUAGCUAACGCGUGAAGUUGACCGCCUGGGGAGUACGGUCG
rnacentral:rRNA from 1 species